rnacentral:rRNA from 1 species
GAUGAACGCUGGCGGCGUGCCUAAUACAUGCAAGUCGAGCGAAGCGGGGACGGGUGCGUAACACGUGGAUAACCUCCUAUACGACUUGGAUCACUUCGGGAAACCGGUGCUAAACCUGCUACUUAUAUAUGGAUCCUCACUGCAUUAGCUAGUUGGUAAGGUAACGGGUUACCAAGGCAACGAUGCAUAGCCGACCUGCGAGGGGGAUCGGCCACACUGGAACUGAGACACGGUCCAGACUCCUACGGGAGGCAGCAGUAGGGAAUCUUCGGCAAUGGGCGAAAGCCUGACGGAGCAACGCCGCGUGAGUGAGGAAGGUCUUCGGAUCGUAAAACUCUGUUAUUAGGGAAGCGGUACCUAAUCAGAAAGCCACGGCUAACUACGUGCCAGCAGCCGCGGUAAUAC